GUCUAUGGCUAUACCACCCUGAGCAUGACUGAUGUGAGAGGCUAAGCAGGGUUGGGCCUGAUUAGUACUUGAGUGGGAGACUGCAUGUGAAUACCGGGUGCUGUAGGCC
rnacentral:rRNA from 1 species